GACGAACGCUGGCGGCGUGCUUAACACAUGCAAGUCGAACGGAAAGGCCCUGCUUUUGUGGGGUUCUCGUGUGGCGAACGCGUGAGUAACACGCGAGUAACCUGCCCUUGACUUUGGGAUAACUUCAGGAAACUGGGGCUCAUAUCGGAUAUGAUCUCCUGCUGCAUGUUGGGGGUUGGAAAGUUUCGGCGGUUGGGGAUCGACUCGCUGCUUAUCAGCUUGUUGGUGGAGUAGUUGCUUACCAAGGCUUAGACGGGUAGCCGGCCUGAGAGGGUGACCGGGCACAAGGGGACUGAGAGACGGACCAGAAGCCUACGGGAGGCAGCAGGGGGGAAUAUGACACAAUGGGCGGAAGCCUGAUGCAGAAACGCCGGGUGCGGGAUGACGGCCUUCGGGUGGUAAACAGCUUUCGCCUGUGACGAAGCGUGAGUGACGGUAAUGGGUAAAGAAGCACCGGCUAACUACGUG
rnacentral:rRNA from 1 species